UGGUGGAGUGAUUUGUCUGGUUAAUUCCGUUAACGAACGAGACCUCGACCUGCUAAAUAGUACGACGAAUCCUAGAUUCGGACGCGCUUCUUAGAGGGACUAUCGGUGUGUAGCCGAUGGAAGUUCGAGGCAAUAACA
rnacentral:rRNA from 1 species